AGUCGAGGGGUAACAGUUCCAAGCAAUUGGAAGCUGACGACCGGCGCACGGGUGCGUAACGCGUAUGCAACCCACCUUUAACAGGAGGAUAGCCCGGAGAAAUCCGGAUUAAUACUCCAUAAUAUCUACUAAUGGCAUCAUUUAUAGAUUAAAAUUUCGAUGGUUAAAGAUGGGCAUGCGUGACAUUAGCUAGUUGGUGAGGUAAUGGCUCACCAAGGCCACGAUGUCUAGGGGUUCUGAGAGGAUUGUCCCCCACACUGGUACUGAGACACGGACCAGACUCCUACGGGAGGCAGCAGUGAGGAAUAUUGGUCAAUGGGCGUAAGCCUGAACCAGCCAUGCCGCGUGCAGGAUGACGGCCCUAUGGGUUGUAAACUGCUUUUAUAUGGGAAGAACUCCCCGUACGUGUACGGGGCUGACUGUACCAUUUGAAUAAGCACCGGCUAACUCCGUGCCAGCAGCCGCGGUAAUACGGAGGGUGCAAGCGUUAUCCGGAUUUAUUGGGUUUAAAGGGUGCGCAGGCGGAAUAGUAAGUCAGUGGUGAAAUCCCCCGGCCCAACCGGGGAACUGCCAUUGAUACUGCUAAUCUAGAGUUUAGUUGAAGUAGGCGGAAUGUAGCAUGUAGCGGUGAAAUGCAUAGAUAUGCUACAGAACGCCGAUUGCGAAGGCAGCUCACUAAUCUAAAACUGACGCUCAGGCACGAAAGCGUGGGGAUCAAACAGGAUUAGAUACCCUGGUAGUCCACGCUGUAAACGAUGAUCACUCGUUGUUGGCAAUAUAUCGUCAGCGACUGAGCGAAAGUAUUAAGUGAUCCACCCGGGAAGUACGAUCGCAAGGUUGAAACUCAAAGGAAUUGACGGGGGCCCGCACAAGCGGUGGAGCAUGUGGUUUAAUUCGAUGAUACGCGAGGAACCUUACCUGGGCUUAAAUGUAGGACGCUUGUCCCCGAAAGGGGAUUUUCCUUCGGACGUCUUACAGUGCUGCAU
rnacentral:rRNA from 1 species